AGACAAUGUCAGAAAGUCACCCCCUUGCCCAGCGUCUGACUGCUGGCUUGUCCGAACUAUUAGCCCGCCAGCUUUUACCAUACAAGCUGGUGGAGUCUGAGGCGUUCAAAAAAUUUGUAGCUAUUGGGACACCGCAGUGGAAGGUACCCGGCCGAAAUUACUUUUCACAAAAGGCAAUCCCCAACCUGUACUCAAUUGUGCAAAAGGAAGUAAUAGCAUCUCUGGCACACAGUGUUGGGGCAAGGGUCCA